rnacentral:rRNA from 1 species
AUGAUGAGAGUGAAAUGGCAGCCAAGAAGGAGGCAAGGAGGAGGAUGCUACAUGAGAUACAUUGGUCCGAUGAAAGGCUCCUCUCAGUUGAGGCAUUCACAGUUUGCUGCUCGGGGCGUCGCGUCUCCUAGCCCCUCCGAACCCAGCCUGGCGACAAUGGACAUGAACCACAUGAUGAGGUGGCCAAAAUCCCCCUCUCACAUGAUUUUGCUCUCGGCUUUCUUACUUCUUCCCGUGUCGUGUUAUGUGCGGUCGAGUCAGAUACUACUUAUUAACAAUUUGAGCUUAUGUUCCUCUCAAUUGACCUCAACACACAUUGAUUUCAUAGAAGCCACUAGAGUUUGA